rnacentral:lncRNA from 1 species
GCAGUUUGCUCAGCCUAUCCAUUGGAUGGAGCUGCAAGGGGUGAGGACACCAGCAUGAACCUUGUUCAAAAUAUCUAGAAAACUACUACGACCUCAAAAAAGAUGUGAAACAGUUUGUUAGGAGAAAGGACAGUGGUCCUGUUGUUAAAAAAAUCCGAGAAAUGCAGAAGUUCCUUGGAUUGGAGGUGACGGGGAAGCUGGACUCCGACACU